GCUUGUUUAGCUCAGUUGGUUAGAGCACCUCAUUAGUAAUGAGGAGGUCCGUGGUUCGACUCCGCGAUCAAGCU
rnacentral:tRNA from 1 species